rnacentral:rRNA from 1 species
AGCGAACGCUGGCGGCAGGCCUAACACAUGCAAGUCGAACGGAUCCUUCGGGAUUAGUGGCGGACGGGUGAGUAACACGUGGGAACGUGCCCUUUGGUUCGGAACAACUCAGGGAAACUUGAGCUAAUACCGGAUGUGUCCUUCGGGGGAAAGAUUUAUCGCCAUUGGAGCGGCCCGCGUCGGAUUAGCUAGUUGGUGAGGUCAAGGCUCACCAAGGCGACGAUCAGUAGCUGGUCUGAGAGGAUGAUCAGCCACAUUGGGACUGAGCUACGGCCCAAACUCCUACGGGAGGCAGCAGUGGGGAAUCUUGCGCAAUGGGCGAAAGCCUGACGAAGCCAUGCCGCGUGAAUGAUGAAGGUCUUAGGAUUGUAAAAUUCUUUCACCGGGGACGAUAAUGACGGUACCCGGAGAAGAAGCCCCGGCUAACUUCGUGCCAGCCGCCGCCGUAAUAC